GCUCCAAUAGCGUAUAUUAAAGUUGUUGCAGUUAAAAAGCUCGUAGUUGGAUUUCUGGUCUAGUGCCUGGCCGCAACGAUUUUGUUGUGAGUGCCGGCUGUGCGCUUACCAUCCUUCUAGAAAACGUUCCUACCUUCACUGGGCCGGGUUCGCGAUCUAGAUCUUUUACUUUGAAAAAAUUAGAGUGUUUAAAGCAGGCU
rnacentral:rRNA from 1 species